CGCAGCCGGGGGAGGCGGCGCCGCCGCCGCGGAGCCUGAGGCGAAACGGGCAGGGGCCGCCGCGCCGAAGCCUCCCUCCCGGGCGUCGCGCUUCUCCGGCAGCCGCUUCGGUCGCCUCCUGGGCGCCGCAGCCCUGAGCUCAUGGAUGGAAACCGAAAGACGGACUUGCUUGGGAGUAAGUUCAGUUGUACACGGCGGGAGUUAUUUCCGAGUAAAUAGGAAACACAGGGCGGCUGCCUUGGGGCUAUUCUGCUGAGACUGAGGGGAGCGCGGCUGGGAGCCCAAAACAUCUGGAGGGCACCGGGCUGGCAAAGGCUGGUGGAGCGCGAGACUUCGACAGUCUUUUCAGUAUGUUACAACAUCAAACUGCUGGAGCAAGUUAACAUAUUUUGUUACCUUGUGCAUUAAAAGGAC